rnacentral:rRNA from 1 species
UACGUAGGGUGCAAGCGUUGUCCGGAAUUAUUGGGCGUAAAGAGCUCGUAGGCGGUCUGUCGCGUCUGCUGUGAAAACCUAGGGCUUAACUCUGGGCGUGCAGUGGGUACGGGCAGGCUAGAGUGCGGUAGGGGGAGACUGGAAUUCCUGGUGUAGCGGUGAAAUGCGCAGAUAUCAGGAGGAACACCGGUGGCGAAGGCGGGUCUCUGGGCCGUAACUGACGCUGAGACGCGAAAGCGUGGGGAGCAAACAGG